rnacentral:rRNA from 4 species
UCAAGUUAUUAAGGGUGCAGGGCGGAUGCCUUGGCACUAGGAGCCGAUGAAGGACGUGAUAAGCUGCGAUAAGCUUCGGGGAGUUGCACGUAAACUUUGAUCCGAAGAUUUCCGAAUGAGGAAACUCACUUAGAGUAAUGUCUAAGUAUCAUUAAGUGAAUACAUAGCUUAAUGAGGGGAACUCAGGGAACUGAAACAUCUAAGUACCUGAAGGAAGAGAAAGAAAUUCGAUUCCGUAAGUAGCGGCGAGCGAACGCGGAUUAGCCCAAACCAAUAAAGUUUUCUUUAUUGGGGUUGCGGACAUAUCAUAACGAAGAGGUAUCGUAAUUGAAGAGGUUUGGAAAGACCCACCACAGAAGGUAAUAGUCCUGUAUGUUAAACGAGAAGACUUCAGAUAUGAUCCAGAGUACCACGGGACACGUGAAACCCUGUGGGAAGCAGGAGGGACCACCCUCCAAGGCUAAAUACUACCUAGUGACCGAUAGCGUAUAGUACCGUGAGGGAAAGGUGAAAAGAACCCCGGGAGGGGAGUGAAAUAGAACCUGAAACCCUGCACUUACAAGCUGUGGAAGCACAUUUCUUGUGUGACCGCGUACUUUUUGUAGAACGGGCCAACGAGUUACGUUAAGUAGCAAGGUUAAGCACUUAAGGUGCGGAGCCGUAGCGAAAGCGAGUUUUAACUGAGCGUUCAGUUACUUGACGUAGACCCGAAACCGGGCGACCUACCCAUGAGCAGGAUGAAGCGAAAGUAAAAUUUCGUGGAGGUCCGAACCCACGAGCGUUGAAAAGCUCGGGGAUGACUUGUGGGUAGCGGUGAAAUUCCAAUCGAGCCCGGAGAUAGCUGGUUCUCCCCGAAAUAGCUUUAGGGCUAGCCUCAAGGUGAGAGAUACGGAGGUAGAGCACUGAAUGUCCUAGGGGGUAUUGCACCUACCGAAGACUAUCAAACUCCGAAUGCCGUCAUCUUAUACUUGGGAGUCAGACUGUGGGUGAUAAGAUUCAUAGUCGAAAGGGCAACAGCCCAGAUCGUCAGCUAAGGUCCCUAAAUGUAAGUUAAGUGGUAAAGGAUGUGGGAUUGCACAGACAACCAGGAUGUUGGCUUAGAAGCAGCCACUCAUUCAAAGAGUGCGUAAUAGCUCACUGGUCGAGUGAUCCUGCGCCGAAGAUUUCCGGGGCUAAAACUUACUACCGAAGCUACGGCAUCAGUAAUGAUGGGUAGGGGAGCUUCCCAUACGGGUUGAAGCAUGACCGUAAGGACAUGUGGACAGUAUGGGAGUGAGAAUGUUGGCAUGAGUAGCGAGAUGUGGGUGAGAAUCCCACAGGCCGUAAACCCAAGGUUUCCAGGGGAAGGUUCGUCCGCCCUGGGUUAGUCGGGACCUAAGCUGAGGCCGAAAGGCGUAGGUGAUGGACAACAGGUUGAUAUUCCUGUACUACCGAUAACCGUUUGAGAGAAGGGAUGACACAGUAGGAUAAGCUAAGCACACUGUUGGUUAUGUGUGCCCAAGCAUUGAGGCAGUCAAAGCAGGCAAAUCCGCUUUGAUAAUGCUGGGAUGUGAUGGGGAGCGAAAUUUAGUAGCGAAGUAGCUGAUUUCACACUGUCAAGAAAAGUCUCUAUCGAGGUUAAAGGUACCCGUACCGCAAACCGACACAGGUGGGUGAGGAGAGUAUCCUAAGGCCAGCGAGAGAACUGUUGUUAAGGAACUCGGCAAAAUGACCCCGUAACUUAGGGAUAAGGGGUGCCACCAUCCGGUGGCCGCAGAGAAUAGGCCCAAGCGACUGUUUACCAAAAACAUAGGUUUCUGCUAAGUCGCAAGACGAUGUAUAGGAGCUGACGCCUGCCCGGUGCUGGAAGGUUAAGGGGAUCUGUUAGAGCAAUCGAAGCAGUGAACUUAAGCCCCAGUAAACGGCGGCCGUAACUAUAACGGUCCUAAGGUAGCGAAAUUCCUUGUCGGGUAAGUUCCGACCCGCACGAAAGGCGUAACGAUUUGGGCACUGUCUCAACAACAGACUCGGUGAAAUUGUAAUUCCGGUGAAGAUGCCGGAUACCUGCGACAGGACGGAAAGACCCCAUGGAGCUUUACUGUAGCUUGACAUUGGGUCUUGGUACUACAUGUACAGGAUAGGUGGGAGGCUUUGAAACCAGGACGCCAGUUUUGGCGGAGCCAUCCUUGGGAUACCACCCUUGUAGUACUGGGACUCUAACCAUAGGCCAUGAAUCUGGUCUUGGGACACUGUCAGGUGGGCAGUUUGACUGGGGCGGUCGCCUCCCAAAAGGUAACGGAGGCGCUCAAAGGUUCUCUCAGUACGGUCGGAAAUCGUACGUAGAGUGUAAAGGCAAAAGAGAGCUUGAUUGCAAGACAUACAGGUCGAGCAAGGAUGAAAAUCGGACUUAGUGAUCCGGUGGUUCUGCGUGGAAGGGCCAUCGCUCAACGGAUAAAAGCUACCCUGGGGAUAACAGGCUUAUCUCCCCCAAGAGUCCACAUCGACGGGGAGGUUUGGCACCUCGAUGUCGGCUCAUCACAUCCUGGGGCUGUAGUAGGUCCCAAGGGUUGGGCUGUUCGCCCAUUAAAGUGGUACGCGAGCUGGGUUCAGAACGUCGUGAGACAGUUCGGUCCCUAUCCGUCGCAGGCGUAGGAAAUUUGAGAAGACCUGUCCUUAGUACGAGAGGACCGGGAUGGACGUACCUCUGGUGUACCAGUUGUUCUGCCAAGGGCAUGGCUGGGUAGCUAUGUACGGAAUGGAUAAGCGCUGAAAGCAUCUAAGCGCGAAGCCAACUUCAAGAUAAGAUUUCCCACCGCAAGGGUAAGACCCCAGAAAGACUAUCUGGUUGAUAGGUCGAAGGUGUAAGUGCAGCAAUGUAUUUAGCUUAUCGAUACUAAUAGGUCGAGGACUUGACCAA